GUUGUGCAGGCCUGGACUAGAUGACCUCCUGAGGUCCCUUCCAACCCUGAUAUUCUAUGAUUCUGUCCUGACCCCCAAAGUCCCAUCCCGCUGUGCCCUUGGCUCAGCAGAAAACCUAGGAAGGAUUUUCAGGAGGUCUGUCUCACCUUUGGUCACUCAAAAGUCCUGGUCAGGGAUCUAGAGUGGAUGUCCCCAGGGCAGCACACUUGAAUCUUCUGUAUUAUUAUAAAAUAUAGAUAUUCUGGUUCUCUCCUCCCACAGACAUGUCUUAGCCCUAUAGAGGUCUGGCUUAAAUGAAAGUUUAUGUCCUACAUUUUAGCUCCCCAAUGAUUUCUUUGAAUAAAUGUGCAAGCUACUGACAAGCUGUAACUUGCUCUUUUUUUAAAAAAAUGCAUAUAGACAGAGGCUGCUCACAGACUGUAGAUCUGACAGGCUACGCAGUCACCUCAGCUGUAAUCUCUCUCCUUGGCCUUCUAACCCUCUUCAUUUGGUAUCACAGGAGCCAAAGAGACCAAAGAGAAAAUAAACGACAUUCCAAGGAGGAAGCAGACCAGGAGGUAGAGCAGGAGCUUGGGGAAGACAUGCUGCAGCGGCCGUAAAGAGCAUUCCCUAGUCUCAUGCCACUAGGAAUGAUCCAGGAGAAGCUACAAUCAAAUUUGGAAACCUGUCAUCAUUAUGGCCAGCUCUCAGAAAUACCCAUACCUAAGUCUGGUUAAUGCUUCCUCUUGCAAGCCUGUGUGGUUGGUUGCUUAUAAACUUUUCCAAAAUUUAACCACCUGGGCUGAAAUUUUCACUGUCAGGACUCUGUUCAGGUUCAGUCCCCCGUCCCCAUCCCAGAAUUUCACUAAAAAAUGGCUCCACUGUUGCUCCACGGUUAGGGGAAAAUAGGAACUUUUUUGCUAAUAUUAACCAAGUAUUUUCCCACCCAUUUC